CUGGCUCAGGAUGAACGCUAGCGGCAGGCUAACACAUGCAAGUCGAGGGGCAGCGGGAUGUAGCAAUACAUGCCGGCGACCGGCGGAUGGGUGCGUAACGCGUAUGCAACCUACCUUAUACAGGGGAAUAACCUUUCGAAAGGGAGACUAACACCCCAUAGUAUUGAUUUAAGGCAUCUUAGAUUAAUUAAAUAUUUAUAGGUAUAAGAUGGGCAUGCGUAUGAUUAGCUAGUUGGUAAGGUAACGGCUUACCAAGGCGACGAUCAUUAGGGGUUCUGAGAGGAAGGUCCCCCACACUGGUACUGAGACACGGACCAGACUCCUACGGGAGGCAGCAGUGAGGAAUAUUGGUCAAUGGGCGCAAGCCUGAACCAGCCAUGCCGCGUGCAAGGAAGACGGCCUUAUGGGUUGUAAACUGCUUUUACAUAAGACUAACCGUAUAUUUGCGAAUAUACCUGAAUGUAUUAUGAGAAUAAGGAUCGGCUAACUCCGUGCCAGCCGCCGC
rnacentral:rRNA from 1 species